GCAUACCUCUUCAUUUAUGCGUCAUGACUUGUAUCGUCUUGAGCGUAUUGUGGGUUUCCUGUGUUGCAUACCUAACUAAUGGUAUCGUUUUGAUUGAUYGAAGUCCCUUUUCAUCUUGUGUUGCCUUUGUGACGCAUGAUGAACCUCGAAGCGGUCUCUAUGUUCCACCACGUUGAUGCUAGUGUUUCGAUGUUGUGGCCCAUCGAGCGUUGCUUGGUUUCGUGGAUACAGAACAUGAUUUGGGCAUAGGGUCACUCGUGACUCUUGUUCUGUCCUUUACCAGUGUUCUUUAUAAYGACGGUUCAUGCGCGCCUAGGCUCGUACCUGCGCGAUGUUCUUUGUCGAAGAGGAAUGCUACCUGGUUGAUCCUGCCAGUAGUCAUAUGCUUGUCUCAAAGAUUAAGCCA
rnacentral:misc_RNA from 1 species